AGCAGAAACAAAGAGGAAAGUUCCUCAAGACAAAGUUCUGGUAGGAAACAAAGCAAACUUACAGUUUGUUCAGACGCUCCAAAGUGCUGAAGAACAAGAUGUGAACCACCGAGACACAGGUGAGCUGCUACCUGGAAGGAGGCGGAGCUUCAGCUGUGAUGGAGGCAGGACAGGUAGGUUAGUGGGAGGAGUUCAGAUCUGACUGCCUUCUGGUUCUCAGACUCAUCUCUGCUGUUCUGCUGAAGAACCUGGUGCUACCUAGAAAGCAGAUGUCCUGAAGGUUCCUCAUCAGUGAUGCAGAAAACUUCAUGUCUACAGAGUGUUGAUCAGUCAGAGAAAUGAUUGAAGUGAAACAGAUCUUACCAUCAUGAUGCUGACCAACAGCUCACCAAUCAUCCCUCCUGAUGGAGACCAGCACCAUCUAUCUCCACCUCUGAGAACCUGCUGAUGUCUCCUGAGCCUCCACAAUCAUUACAGCAUCUAAAUGACUUUAACAAACUGAAUUAUGUCUUCUUGACAGAAACACAUCAGAAGAGAAAAUCCACAACUUGCUGCCUGGAUUUGUUCCCUCUGAGUUUCUAAAAGCAGUUUUUAGCUGUGAUGCCCCUGAAAUAUUACAGAUAGUAAAUACUUCCCUCCAGUUAGUUUGUUUUCUAAAGGCUGAAAACUGCAGAGAUCAAACCUCUGUUAGAGAAACCAACUCUAGAUCCAUGGAUAAUAAGUCCCUACAGGAUCAGAACUAAUCCACUGGUUCUGGAAAAGAUCAUUGAAAAUGGUUCUGAUGAACAAAUGUAUGACUUUCUGAUGAAAUGAAUCUCUUCAGUGAUUUCUAGUCAGGCUUCAGACCACAGCACAGAGACUGCACUGCUAAACGUUUACAAUGAUGCUCAUCUGGACUGGAAUGGCUCCAGAACUCCUCUGUUGGUUCUACUGGAUCUCAGUUCUGCUGAACACAGUUCAUCACAACAUGUUGAUGAUCCAACUAGAACACUGGCUGGAUUAUCUGGUUCUGGGCUAAACUGGUUCACACCAUAUUUGGCAGACAUGGAUAACUUUGUGUCAUUUAGUAAAUAAAUAUAAAUCUGGACCAACAAAAAUUAAACGUGGGGUUCCUCAAGGAUCCAUUUUCAGCCACUAUUAUUUCUCCUCCAUCUGAUGCCAACAGGUCAGAUUCUAGAGUUCUCCAGCAUCUCCUAACAUCCAUGCUGACUACAUGUGACUUGUAAUCUCCAUGUUGCUGCUGAGCCUGGCUCACUGCACUCACUGAGUCAGUGUGUCCAUAAUAUCAAUGAGCGCAUCAGUCACAAUAUGCUACAGCUUCAUGCAGACAGAAAACAUCAUUUUUAGUCCAGAACUGUGAGGAUCUAGAUCAGUGGUCAGCUAGACUCUAUGAAACAUGAAGCUUUGACCACAUUUCUGUUAUUUUAGUCUCUCUGCACUGGCUGCCUGAACAUUUUAGGAUUCAUUUUAAAAUGCUUUUAUCUGCUUCUAAAGCUCUAAAUGGCCUUGCCACACAUUAGCUGUCUGAACUAGUACAUCCUGCACAUCCUCUGUUCCCUCAGGUCACUGAUCAGCUGAUCCUGAGUCAGCCAAAGAUGAAGCUUAAGCUCAGGGUGACUGAGCUUUAGCUGCAGCAGAUCUAGAAUUAUGAAACAACCUUCCCUUGGACAUCAGACAGUUCUCCUCCCUGUGUUUCACAUUCAUUUAUAAAACCAUCUAUUCUCAUUGACCUCUGACACCAUCAGAGACUUUAAAUCGUUCUGAUUAUCAUUAAUAACAUU